rnacentral:rRNA from 1 species
UACGAACUGUGCAAACGUUAUUCGGAAUCACUGGGCUUAAAGGGUGCGUAGGCGGCUUAUCAAGUAGGGUGUGAAAGCCCCCGGCUUAACCGGGGAAUUGCGCCCUAAACAGACGAGCUGGAGUGGGACAGGGGUGUGUGGAACUUCCGGUGGAGCGGUGAAAUGUGUUGAUAUCGGAAGGAACGCCGGUGGCGAAAGCGACACACUGGGUCUCAACUGACGCUGAGGCACGAAAGCCAGGGGAGCGAACGGG